AUACUGAUUCUACAGUAGCCUGUUUUCUAAAAUGAUGACCUCCACUGUUAUUAUUUUUUUUUAAAUGGAGUCAAUUGAUGAUCAUGUUUCCAUUGACUUGUAUUGAUUUAUUAAUGUCUACUGGAAUUUUUUGGUGUAUGCUUUAAUGUACUGUAUGUGAUACAACAUUUCCAUUCCCACACAUCUUAGGUUGUUUAAAGAGUCGCUAAACUUACAAAUUCCUCCUGGGCAUUUCCGGUACUCAUCAAGAAAAAUUUGAAUUGUGUUGUUCAAUGUGGGUGUUAUGUUCGCUAUAUUAUAUCCUGGCAGUAAUGUUUGUCCCCCUUCAGUCACCGUACCGAAUUGCUUAGCAACCGGGAGAGGCAGCAGGACAUCGUGAACAUGAUUGGUCAGGGAAUACUGCAUUUCCUGCUUUCUAGAUGUAAUUGUCUUUGAUAAAUUUGGUGUUUGUGAUUCUAACGUUAGUUCAUGAAUGAAAACCCAAGCAACUUGUUUUUUCAACAUAACAUUUUCUUGUGUAUGGAUUGUUGUUUAAACAAGUUUGAGGUGUUGCAUACUAAUGUUUAGCUUGGAUGUCUAUAAAUUGAAUGCGCGGGUUGAUUCUGGUGAGCGAUUGGAUAGUGUGCUCUACAGCAUACCGGGCAUCUGUGAUCUGGAUGAUUUGAUUACUGCCAGCCAGGAUUAGACUGUGCCAGGCUUUGGUCCUGUGUGGGCAGGAUUGAAAUCAGAACCCAACCAUGAUUUUGUCAGGCCAGGAGACAUCCUGAAAAUCGGUCUUCUCACGUGGAACAACAUCUCCACCCCGCUGAUCCACCCCGCUGUCUCAUAAGGGUGCGUUUUGAGCCCUCUCCUGUACUCCCUGUUCACCCACGACUACGUGGCCAUGCACGCCUCCAACUUAAUCAUCAAGUUUGCGGACGACACUACAGUGGUAGGCUUGAUUACCAACAAUGACGAGACGGCCUACAGGGAGGAGGUGAGGGCCCUCGGAGUGUGGUGUCAGGAAAAUAACCUCACACUCAACGUCAACAAAACAAAGGAGAUGAUUGUGGACUUCAGGAAACAGCAGAGGGAGCACCCCCCCUAUCCAUAUCGAUGGGACAGUAGUGGAGAGGGUAGUAAGUUUUAAGUUCCUCGGCGUACACAUCACGGACAAACUGAAUUGGUCCACCCACACAGACAGCGUCAUGAAGAAGGUGCAGCAGCGCCUCUUCAACCUCAGGAGGCUGAAGAAAUUCGGCUUGUCACCAAAAGCAAUCACAAACUUCUACAGAUGCACAAUCGAGAGCAUCCUGGCGGGCUGUAUCACCGCCUGGUACUGCAACUGCUCCACCCACAACCGUAAGGCUCUCCAGAGGGUAGUAAGGUCUGCACAACACAUCACCGGGGGCAAACUACCUGCCCUCCAGGACACCUACACCACCCGAUGUCACCGGAAGGCCAUAAAGAUCAUCAAGGACAACAACCACCCGAGCCACUCCCUGCCACUCCCUGUUCACCCCGCUAUCAUCCAGAAGGCGAGGUCAAUACAGGUGCAUCAAAGCAGGGACCGAGAGACUGAAAAACAGCUUUUAUCUCAAGGCCAUCAGACUGUUAAACAGCCACCACCAACAUUGAGUGGCUGCUGCCAACAAACUGACUCAACUCCAGCCACUUUAAUAAUGGAAAUUGAUGAAAAAUAUAUAUCACUAGCCACUUUAAACAAUGCUACUUAAUAUAAUGUUUACAUACCCUACAUUACUCAUCUCAUAUGUAUAUACUGUACUCUAUAUCAUCUACUGCAUCUUUAUGUAAUACAUGUUUCACAAGCCACUUUAAACUAUGCCACUUUGAUUACAUACCCUACAUUACUCAUCUCACAUGUGCAUACUGUACUCUAUACCAUCUACUGCAUCUUGCCUAUGCCAGUUUGUACCAUCACUCAUUGAUAUAUCUAUGUACAUAUUCUUUAUCCCUUUACACUUGUGUGUGUACAAGGUAGUAGUUUUGGAAUUGUUAGGUUAGAUUACUCGUUGGUUAUUACUGCAUUGUCGGAACUAGAAGCACAAGCAUUUCGCUACACUCGCAUUAACAUCGGUUAACCAUGUGUAUGUGACAAAUAAAAAUUGAUUUAAUUUGAAAUGUCUGUAGCGACCAAACAGUUUGGGCUAAUAUGAAGUUGAAACUCUCACGAACGUGUACAUGCUGGUGGUUUUGCUUUAGGACGCCCACAAGCCUCGCAGGACUUGCCUGAAGGUAGCCCAGCUUUAAAAAUGGUUGUAAAGUGCCUUCAGAAAGUAUUCACACCCCUCUACUUUCUCCAGAUUUUGUUGUUACUACCUGAAUUGAAAAUGGAUUACAUGUAGAUUGUGUGUUACUGAUCUACACACACUGCCCCAUAAUGUUAAAGUGGAAAUAUGUUUUAGACAUCUUUAAAAAUUAAUAAAAGAUUAAAAGCUCGAGUCAAUAAGUAUUCAGCCCCUGUUAUGGCAAGCCUAAAUGAGUUCGGUGUAAAAAUGUGCUUAACAAGUCUAAGUUGCAUGGACUUACUCUGUGUGCAGUAAUAGUGUUUAACAUGAUUUUUGAAGAACUAACUACCCCAUCUCUUUAUGGGGUAGUUAUUCAAACACAUGAAUUUCAAGCACAGAUUCAAUCACAAAGACCAGUGAGGCUUUCCAAUGCUUUGGAAAGGUCAUCUAUUGGUACAUAAAAAAAUCAAAUAAAAGUAAGACCUUAUUCAUGACACUUUAGAUGGUGUAUUAAUCCACCCAGUGACGACAAAGAUACAGGCAUCUUUCCUAACUCAGUUGAAGAAAACCGUUGAGGGAUUUGGCCAAUGUUGAUUUUAAACCAGUUACACAGUUAAAUGGCCGUGAUACAGUGCAUUUGGAAAGUAUUCAGACCACUUGACAUUUUCCACAUUUUGUUACGUUACAGCGUUAUUUUAAAAUAGAUUCAAUUGUUUUUCUCCCUUACCAAUCUACUCACAAUCCCCCAUAAUGACAAAGCAAAAACAGUUUUUUCCAAAUGUAUAAAAUAAUAAAUUCAAGUAUAAAAUGUACAUAAGUAUUCAGACCCUUUACUCAGUACUUUGUUGGAGCACCUUUGGCAGUGCUUACGGACUCGAUUCUUCUUAGGUAGGAUGCUACAAGCUUGGCACACCUGCAUUUGGGGAGUUUCUCCCAUUCUUCUCUGCAGAUCCUCUCAAGCUCUGUCAGGUGGGAUGGGGAGUGUCGCUGCACAGCUAUUUUCAGGUCUCUCCAGAGAUGUUUAAUCGGGUUCUAGUCCGGGCUCUGGCUGGGCCACAAGGACAUUCAGAGACUUGUCCCGAAGCCACUCCUGCAUUGUCUUGGCUGUGUGCUUAAGGUCGUUGUCCUGUUGGAAGGUGAACCUUUGCCCUAGUCUGAGGUCCUCAGUGCUCUGGAGCAGGUUUUCGUCAAGGAUCUCUCUACUUUGCUUCAUUCAUCUUUCCCUCGAUCUUGACUCGUCUCCCACUCCCUGCCUCUGAUAAACAUCCCCAUAGCAUGAUGCUGCCACCAGCAUGCUUCACCGUAGGGAUGGUUCCAGGUUUCUUCCAGACGUGACGCUUGGCAUUCAGGCCAAAGAGUUCAAUCUUGGUUUCAUCAGACCAGUGAAUCUUGUUUCUCAUAUAUAUAUAUAUAUGGAAGUAGUUUAGUACCAAAAAAAAGGGGGUUAAAUAUGGGUACAAAAUAUAUAUAAAUAAUUUCCUGAUAUAUCUUAUAUCAUUUAGAUACAGGACAGACACUUCAAAACACACUUAAGAUAAAAACACAUUUUUAACUAUCUGUUUAGACUCUAGACUAGAGGUUAAGCUCCUGACCUGUGUUGAUGGCCGUGUGUUUGUUUGCCCGUGACUGACUACAGUCGCGGUACAGUGUAGCCUUUGUAUGUUUGUGUGUGUUGUCCCUAAUCAUCUCAUACACACAGCCUUUGACACACCAUGCAAGCUGUUUUUAUCGGGUAGAGCUCUGUUUGUUUGGCAUAGGGCUCUGUGGGUUUGCUUUUUUUCCUUUGAGCUUAGGGUGUUGAGCAGUGGUGGUUGCAUAGAAAGCUGCUUUUCAGCUUGAUUUGGCCCUAAUGUGCUCACUGGGCCAGUACAAUGGGUCAGCCACUGGACAGAUUAUCUCAUUUCAACGGAGCAACUCUCCCUAACCCUUCUGUCUAUCCAGCUUUCCCAAUACAGCAUGUUACUAAACAUUGACAUGGGGACAAGGAAAUAACCAAAUUAUGUACAUUUACAGAUGGAAACUUCUUACUUCUCGACUUAACAGUGUACCCUUUAUACACUACUCGCUUCUACAGUGUAUGGAACCAUAUCAGUGCAGCACUAUUGAUGAGCAAUUUUAAGUCAUUAUGGAAGUGUUUUGUGUUCCACUUUCUAUGUUCUGGAUAAAGUAGGAUUUUCAUUAAUGCUUACAGAACGGACACAGAGAAUUGUGCUGUGAGUCAUAUCACUCAGUCCCAAAACCCCUGCGUUGUAUGUUGUUAUAUUCAUGUACCUCUGUUAUUGUUGUACAGAAUGUUUAUUUUUAUCUGUUUGUUGGAAUUUUCAUAUCAGACAAUGAGAUCAGUGACAAUAAAACAUUUAAAAAAUAUA